GAGGGGGCCGGGGGAAAAUGGCGGCCGUCUCGAAAUCGGAGCUGUGUGUUCCGGGCGCAAAGCGGGGCCCGGCGGGCGGGCGCUCGGUCUGGCCGGGCCCGUGGGGCCGCCGCGAGCACGUCGUGAGGCAGUUGGACCGCGUGAAGGGUCACCUUCUGCGGCACGGCAAGAGAAUCUUGCACGGCUGAUUCUGCUUGCUGCUCAGGGAAAGACUACGUUUAAAAGUUAAUUAGUUUCCUCCUGACCAUGCCAGUGACUAAAAUUGAGUUAUGAUUCUUCAACCAGAAAAAUGACACUGCUCUUAGAGAUCUGGGCUAUUUCUGAACACGUAUUCGUCAUGUGCAAAUGUCUUCGGCGUACAGAUGGCCUGCACUUGGUGCUCUGACAAGACGAUAUGCUGAGACAGGGAUGAGCUCCGGCAGCCAGAAAAGACACAAGGCGAUCGAGGUCAAAGGAGAGACAUGGAUGAACCGGGACAAAGUGGCGUCUCGCUUCUGCGUGUUUUCCAGGCAUUCCCACGAAGCACCAGCAGCCUCGUAACUAGUGACAGCGAGUCCUGAUGUGGUUCUGCAGAAUGUCAGCUGCCAGCUUUUCUCCGUGGUCGCCCUUUUGUUGUGCCGUGACAGUGCAGGACAGAUGGAAAGGAUGCGGAGUGCUCUGCGAGUACGAGGUGUGUCUGCUUUUUUCCUAAGGUCCUUGUAGCGUGGACUUUGAAGUUAGAAGGAGAGCUGACAAAGCGUUCCUGUUAUAGUUUUUGUAUAAAAUAUUUAAGAAAACACUAAAAAUAACAUAAGCUCUGUUCUGGAGCAUGUCAGGCAGCCAAAAGCAUUCGCCCAUCUGCCGGUGCUUUUUGGUAGCUUGAUGGAUUGCGGCACCGGGGAUUUGAUUUCCCCCCCGACGCUCAAAAGUGAAACCAUUUGGGGGUUUAUAUUCCUGGUUUUUCUAUGCAAAAUUAAACUUAAAAAACCAAAAAAGGUAAUGUUGUAUAAUUUACCCACUGACUCGCAUUGUUUAAAGCGCAAGUGCCCAAUAGCUGUAGCAUACAAUUUAUGAGGCGGAGCGAAGUGGUUAGGUGUUAGUUCUAACAGUUUAAAAAGAGAGGCAACUGGAUGUUACUGGGUUUUCCCCACUGUUAUGGCAGAGUGCUCUGAGGUACUUUAUUUCUGUCUGGUUUUCAGUGGUGCAUUUCCCCGGCAGCCCGGUAGCAUCUCUCUCAAGCAGUGCCGCUGGCCAGAUGUCCCUCCUCCUUGCGUAACACCCAAAAAAACCUGCAGUCAAAUGAUAAUUGUGUAUUUUGGAGAGGGGUAGUUUAAUGGUAUCAGUUCACAGCCGUGCAAGUUGAACUAGUGCCACAGGGAAGUCAAAUACUUUUAGAGUAUUUUUAAUGAGCGUAUGUAAGUGUAGGCACACCUUUUCAGCAUGGAGCGAAUGACCGAGGUUCUUCAUUGCUCCUUUGGCUCUUCAGGGUUUGACCUGUCCCUCGCGGCUGCAUCGACCCUGCAAGCGAGGUGAGUGGCAGCAGCAGCGUGAGGGCCGUGGCUGCAGCGGUGGGUCCGUCAGCGUGGAUUCUGGUUACGGCCCAGCCUGGUCCUGCUGCCCUGCGGGAUCUCCCUGCGGCUGCACUGGAAGGAAGGGGCCAGGCAUUUCCCAGCGCCGGCCGGAGGGUUCGCCGUUCUGCUAAGAAUGUGUUCAAAAUGGCAUCGGUUAGCCUUAAUCCUGACUUUAAGAGUUGAGCUGGCGCUGGCUUUUGAAGGCUGUGCUGUAUUUGUAGCUGAGGCAUUUCCCUACAAUCCUCCUGUAGCUCAGCCACUGUCCUGUCCCUCGGUCUGAGGGAAUUCCUCUACUUUCUUCUGUGCUACUUUUUUAGCACACUGAACUCUAACUGGGGAUUUCUGUUUUCCAGGUGUCUCAUGUGGCUUGAGGGAUGCUCCAGCCUGGGUUUGCAGCUGGUGGCGGAGUCCCCUGAGGGGAAGGGGCCAGCCCUGGGUCUGGGUGUUUUGGGCCUUUUUUUGGUGUGAAUAGAAGGGUGUCUGUGGGCACGUCUCAGGGGGUGAUGUUGUUUGGGGUGCCCUGAUGUCAUUGGGGCAGUGAUGAUGUGGGUGAGUGGGGGAUGGGGGGGUUAUGUGAGGGUCUCCCAAAAGAGGUGGGUCACAGCCCCAAAAUGUCUGAAAAUUCUUGGGAUGCAUUAAAAAAAUGUGAAAACCUGUAACUAUGGGCAUGAGGCAUUGAAAUAGAGAACAAUCCCCCAUUUAUAUAUAUGAAAUAUAUAUAUUGAGAAAUAAUAUUAAUUUAUGUAUGUAAAAUAAGUUCAAAAUAAAAACCUCUGUCUCGAAGGAU